CUCAAAGGAAUUGACGGGGACCCGCACAAGCGGUGGAUGAUGUGGUUUAAUUCGAUGCAACGCGAAAAACCUUACCCACCUUUGACAUGUACGGAAUCCUUUAGAGAUAGAGGAGUGCUCGAAAGAGAGCCGUAACACAGGUGCUGCAUGGCUGUCGUCAGCUCGUGUCGUGAGAUGUUGGGUUAAGUCCCGCAACGAGCGCAACCCUUGUCAUUAGUUGCUACAUUCAGUUGGGCACUCUAAUGAGACUGCCGGUGACAAACCGGAGGAAGGUGGGGAUGACGUCAAGUCCUCAUGGCCCUUAUAGGUGGGGCUACACACGUCAUACAAUGGAUGGUACAAAGGGUCGCCAACCCGCGAGGGGGAGCCAAUCCCAUAAAGCCAUUCGUAGUCCGGAUCGCAGUCUGCAACUCGACUGCGUGAAGUCGGAAUCGCUAGUAAUCGUGGAUCAGAAUGUCACGGUGAAUACGUUCCCGGGUCUUGUACACACCGCCCGUCACACCAUGGGAGCGGGUUCUGCCAGAAGUAGUUAGCCUAACCGCAAGGAGGG
rnacentral:rRNA from 1 species